UACGGAGGGCGCGAGCGUUAAUCGGAAUUACUGGGCGUAAAGCGCGCGUAGGCUGUUGUAUAAGUUGGGGGUGAAAUCCCACGGCUCAACCGUGGAACAGCCCUUGAUACUGCGCGACUUGAAUCCGGGAGAGGGUGGCGGAAUUCCAGGUGUAGGAGUGAAAUCCGUAGAUAUCUGGAGGAACAUCAGUGGCGAAGGCGGCCACCUGGACCGGUAUUGACGCUGAGGCGCGAAAGCGUGGGGAGCAAACAGG
rnacentral:rRNA from 1 species